AUUGAACGCUGGCGGCAUGCCUUACACAUGCAAGUCGAACGGUAACAGGUCUUCGGAUGCUGACGAGUGGCGAACGGGUGAGUAAUACAUCGGAACGUGCCUAGUAGUGGGGGCUAACUACUCGAAAGAGUGGCUAAUACCGCAUGAGAUCUACGGAUGAAAGCAGGGGAUCGCAAGACCUUGUGCUACUAGAGCGGCCGAUGGCAGAUUAGGUAGUUGGUGGGAUAAAAGCUUACCAAGCCGACGAUCUGUAGCUGGUCUGAGAGGACGAUCAGCCACACUGGGACUGAGACACGGCCCGGAUUCCUAUGGGAGGCAGCAGGGGGGAAUUUUGGACAAUGGGCGCAAGCCUGAUCCAGCAAUGCCGCGUGCAGGAGGAAGGCCUUCGGGUUGUAAACUGCUUUUGUACGGAACGAAAAGCCCUGGGUUAAUACCCUGGGGUCAUGACGGUGCCGUAAGAAUAAGCACCGGCUAACUACGUGCCAGCCGCCGCCGUAAAAC
rnacentral:rRNA from 1 species